rnacentral:rRNA from 1 species
GGACCAUUUNCCCUAUGGAGGGGAUAACCCCGGGAAACUGGGGAUAAUACCCCAUAGACUAUAGAUGCUGGAAUGCUUUGUAGUUGAAAGGUCAGCCGCCAUAGGAUGGGUCUGCGGCCGAUUAGGUUGUUGUUGGGGUAACGGCCCACCAAGCCUGUAAUCGGUACGGGUUGUGGGAGCAAGAGCCCGGAGAUGGAUUCUGAGACACGAAUCCAGGCCCUACGGGGCGCAGCAGGCGCGAAAACUUUACAAUGCGGGAAACCGUGAUAAGGGAACUCCGAGUGCCCGUAAAAUCGGGCUGUCCAUCUGUGUAAAUAACAGGUGAAGAAAGGGCCGGGCAAGACCGGUGCCAGCCGCCGCGGUAAUACCGGCGGCUCGAGUGGUGGCCACUAUUACUGGGCUUAAAGCGUUCGUAGCUGGUCUGUUAAGUCUCUGGGGAAAUCUACUGGCUUAACCAAUAGGCGUCUCAGGGAUACUGGCAGACUAGGGACCGGGAGAGGUGAGAGGUACUCCAGGGGUAGGAGUGAAAUCCUGUAAUCCUUGGGGGACCACCUGUGGCGAAGGCGUCUCACCAGAACGGCUCCGACAGUGAGGGACGAAAGCUGGGGGAGCAAACCGGAUUAGAUACCCGGGUAGUCCCAGCCGUAAACGAUGCGCGUUAGGUGUAUCGGUGACCACGAGUCACCGAGGUGCCGAAGAGAAAUCGUGAAACGUGCCGCCUGGGAAGUACGGUCGCAAGNCUGAAACUUAA